GCCGCCAUGGUGAAAUCGGUAAACACG
rnacentral:tRNA from 1 species